UACGAAGGGGGCUAGCGUUGCUCGGAAUCACUGGGCGUAAAGGGUGCGUAGGCGGGUCUUUAAGUCAGGGGUGAAAUCCUGGAGCUCAACUCCAGAACUGCCUUUGAUACUGAAGAUCUUGAGUUCGGGAGGGGUGAGUGGAACUGCGAGUGUAGAGGUGAAAUUCGUAGAUAUUCGGAAGAACACCAGUGGCGAAAGCGGCCACCUGGACUGCACCUGACGCUGAAACGCGAAAGCUAGGGGAGCGAACGGG
rnacentral:rRNA from 1 species